UCAAAUAAUGUUCCACGGGGGUACUGGAGAUUUUACAAAAAUAUAUAAAAAAGUUUGAGAACCACUGCUCCAGAAGAGCCAUUUCAUCCAGAGGGGGACUCUAAAACACCCCCUUCUUCCACAAGACUUAAGAUCUUCUGUCCUGCCUAUUUACUUGUAUAUUUUCCUGUGCACUUUU